GAGGGCUUAGCUUAAUUAAAGUGUCUGAUUUGCAUUCAGUAGAUGUAGGAUAAAUUCCUGUAGUCCUUA
rnacentral:tRNA from 1 species